rnacentral:rRNA from 1 species
UGUUUCGGCUAGGGGGCCAUCCCGGCUUACCAACCCGAUGCAAACUGCGAAUACCGGAGAAUGUUAUCACGGGAGACACACGGCGGGUGCUAACGUCCGUCGUGAAGAGGGAAACAACCCAGACCGCCAGCUAAGGUCCCAAAGUCAUGGUUAAGUGGGAAACGAUGUGGGAAGGCCCAGACAGCCAGGAUGUUGGCUUAGAAGCAGCCAUCAUUUAAAGAAAGCGUAAUAGCUCACUGGUCGAGUCGGCCUGCGCGGAAGAUGUAACGGGGCUAAACCAUGCACCGAAGCUGCGGCAGCGAACGUAUCACUUAAAGCGAUUCAGCGGGUUACGAUUGACGGAGCGAAGCGACGUCAAAGCGUAUACAAAGUCGAGUCGGUUUAAGGAUACGUUCGUUGGGUAGGGGAGCGUUC